rnacentral:rRNA from 1 species
UACGAAGGGGGCUAGCGUUGUUCGGAAUUACUGGGCGUAAAGCGUAUGCAGGCGGAUCGUUAAGUCGGGGGUGAAAUCCCGAGGCUCAACCUCGGAACUGCCUUUGAUACUGGGUAUCUCGAGUCCGGAAGAGGUGAGUGGAAUUCCGAGUGUAGAGGUGAAAUUCGUAGAUAUUCGGAGGAACACCAGUGGCGAAGGCGGCUCACUGGUCCGGUACUGACGCUGAGGUGCGAAAGCGUGGGGAGCAAACAGG